CGUCUAAACAUCAACCCAACAAUGUUAGAUCUGUAAAUUUGCUUUCGCAAAUUUUGGUUCUUCCCUCGCCGGGAUUUCGAACCCAUGCAUGGGUUCGAAUCCCGGCGAGGGGAAGAACCAAAAAUUUGCGAAAGCAAAUUUACAGAUCUAACAUUGUUGGGUUGAUGUUUAGACGAGUUGUAUAUAUAUAUAUAUAUAU
rnacentral:sRNA from 1 species